UGGGGAAUAUUGGACAAUGGGCGAAAGCCUGAUCCAGCCAUGCCGCGUGAGUGAUGAAGGCCCUAGGGUUGUAAAGCUCUUUCACCGGUGAAGAUAAUGACGGUAACCGGAGAAGAAGCCCCGGCUAACUUCGUGCCAGCAGCCGCGGUAAUACGAAGGGGGCUAGCGUUGUUCGGAUUUACUGGGCGUAAAGCGCACGUAGGCGGACUUUUAAGUCAGGGGUGAAAUCCCGGGGCUCAACCCCGGAACUGCCUUUGAUACUGGAAGUCUUGAGUAUGGUAGAGGUGAGUGGAAUUCCGAGUGUAGAGGUGAAAUUCGUAGAUAUUCGGAGGAACACCAGUGGCGAAGGCGGCUCACUGGACCAUUACUGACGCUGAGGUGCGAAAGCGUGGGGAGCAAACAGG
rnacentral:rRNA from 1 species